UGUUGAAACAUUGCAUCCCAUAUGAUCACCUAAGUUAAGCAACAUUGAGCCUGAUCAGUAUCUUGAUGGGUGACCACUUGGGUAUACAAGGUGCUGUAAG